UACGAAGGGGGCUAGCGUUGCUCGGAAUCACUGGGCGUAAAGCGCACGUAGGCGGCUUUCUAAGUCAGGGGUGAAAUCCUGGAGCUCAACUCCAGAACUGCCUUUGAUACUGGAGAGCUUGAGUCCGGGAGAGGUGAGUGGAACUCCGAGUGUAGAGGUGAAAUUCGUAGAUAUUCGGAAGAACACCAGUGGCGAAGGCGGCUCACUGGCCCGGUACUGACGCUGAGACACGAAAGCGUGGGUAGCAAACAGG
rnacentral:rRNA from 1 species